rnacentral:rRNA from 1 species
CCUACGGGAGGCUGCAGUGGGGAAUAUUGGACAAUGGGGGGAACCCUGAUCCAGCCAUGCCGCGUGUGUGAAGAAGUCCCUCGGGUUGUAAAGCACUUUCAGUGAGGAAGAACGCCUGGUGGUUAAUACCCAUCAGGAAAGACAUCACUCACAGAAGAAGCACCGGCUAACUCCGUGCCAGCAGCCGCGGUAAUACGGAGGGUGCGAGCGUUAAUCGGAAUUACUGGGCGUAAAGCGCGCGUAGGUGGCUUGAUAAGCCGGUUGUGAAAGCCCCGGGCUCAACCUGGGAACGGCAUCCGGAACUGUCAAGCUAGAGUGCAGGAGAGGAAGGUAGAAUUCCCGGUGUAGCGGUGAAAUGCGUAGAGAUCGGGAGGAAUACCAGUGGCGAAGGCGGCCUUCUGGACUGACACUGACACUGAGGUGCGAAAGCGUGGGUAGCAAACAGGAUUAGAUACCCCUGUAGUC